CGUGAACCGCGAACGGCUCAUUAUAACAGCUAUAAUUUACUUGAAUUUGACAACCCUACUUGGAUACCGGUGGUAAUUCUAGCGCUAAUACAUGCACCAAAGCUCCGACCGCGAGGGAAGAGCGCAUUUAUUAGAACAAAACCACACGGCUUCGGCCGUCCAAUGUUGACUCAGAAUAACUAAGCUGAUCGCAUGGUCUUGCACCGGCGACGUUUCUUUCAAGUAUCUGCCUUAUCAACUUUCGAUGGUAGUGUAUCUGACUACCAUGGUGAUGACGGGUAACGGAGGAUAAGGGUUCGACUCCGGAGAAGGGGCCUGAGAAAUGGCCACUACGUCUAAGGAUGGCAGCAGGCGCGCAAAUUACCCACUCUCAGUACGAGGAGGUAGUGACGAGAAAUAACAAGACCGUUCUCAAAUGAGGCCGGUCAUUGGAAUGGGUACAAUUUAAACCCUUUAACGAGUAUCUAUGAGAGGGCAAGUCUGGUGCCAGCAGCCGCGGUAAUUCCAGCUCUCAAAAUGCAUAGAAUUAUUGCUGCGGUUAAAAAGCUCGUAGUUGGAUCUGUGCUAGCUUCCCGGUCCGCCUCCGGGUGUGUACUGGAGAGGUUGGCUUUGCUGUUGUUUACUGAAUGGGUUCCUCACGGGGCUCAUUUAUUUCAACAAAAUUUACCUUGAACAAAUCAGAGUGCUCAAAACAGGCGUUUCGCUUGAAUGUUCGUGCAUGGAAUAAUAGAAGAGGAUUUCGGUUCUAUUUUAUUGGUUUUAUAGACUGAGAUAAUGGUUAACAGA
rnacentral:rRNA from 1 species